GCGAAUGGUGGAUGCCUUGACUGGUAAAGGCGAUGAAGGACGUACUAGACUGCGAUAAGCUACGGGGAGCUGUCAAGAAGCUUUGAUCCGUAGAUUUCCGAAUGGGGCAACCCAAUGUAUAGAGAUAUACAUUACCUAUAUAGGAGCGAACGAGGGGAAUUGAAACAUCUUAGUACCCUCAGGAAAAGAAAUCAAUAGAGAUUGCGUCAGUAGCGGCGAGCGAAAGCGCAAGAGGGCAAACCCAGUGCUUGCACUGGGGGUUGUAGGACUGCAAUGUGCAAGAGCUGAGUUUAGCAGAACAUUCUGGAAAGUAUAGCCAUAGAGGGUGAUAGUCCCGUAUGCGAAAAACAAAGCUUAGCUAGCAGUAUCCUGAGUAGGGCGGGACACGAGAAAUCCUGUCUGAAUCCGGGUCGACCACGAUCCAACCCUAAAUACUAAUACCAGAUCGAUAGUGCACAAGUACCGUGAGGGAAAGGUGAAAAGAACUGAGGUGAUCAGAGUGAAAUAGAACCUGAAACCAUUUGCUUACAAUCAUUCAGAGCACUAUGUAGCAAUACAGUGUGAUGGACUGCCUUUUGCAUAAUGAGCCUGCGAGUUGUGGUGUCUGGCAAGGUUAAGCAAACGCGAAGCCGUAGCGAAAGCGAGUCUGAAUAGGGCGCUUAGUCAGAUGCUGCAGACCCGAAACGAAGUGAUCUAUCCAUGAGCAAGUUGAAGCUAGUGUAAGAACUAGUGGAGGACUGAACCCAUAGGCGUUGAAAAGCCCCGGGAUGACUUGUGGAUAGGGGUGAAAGGCCAAUCAAACUUCGUGAUAGCUGGUUCUCUCCGAAAUAUAUUUAGGUAUAGCGUUGUGUCGUAAUAUAAGGGGGUAGAGCACUGAAUGGGCUAGGGCAUACACCAAUGUACCAAACCCUAUCAAACUCCGAAUACCUUAUAUGUAAUCACAGCAGUCAGGCGGCGAGUGAUAAAAUCCGUCGUCAAGAGGGAAACAACCCAGACUACCAGCUAAGGUCCCUAAAUCUUACUUAAGUGGAAAACGAUGUGAAGUUACUUAAACAACCAGGAGGUUGGCUUAGAAGCAGCCAUCCUUUAAAGAAAGCGUAAUAGCUCACUGGUCUAGUGAUUUUGCGCGGAAAAUAUAACGGGGCUAAAGUAAGUACCGAAGCUGUAGACUUGCGCACAACUUAGAUUAUUUAAGUUUAGAAUAUGAGAAACUAAGUUAUGUUU
rnacentral:rRNA from 1 species